GGCGUCUCAGAGAGUUUGAUUCUGGCUCAGGAUGAACGCUGGCGGCGUGCCUAAUACAUGCAAGUCGAACGAGGUGGAAGGGAGCUUGCUCCUGGAUACCGAGUGGCGAACGGGUGAGUAACACGUAGGUAACCUGCCCUUAAGCUUGGGAUACCCAGAGGAAACUUUGGCUAAUACCGGAUAACAACAGAGGAGGCAUCUCCUUUGCUUGAAAGGCCCUUCAAAGGGUCACUUAAGGAUGGACCUGCGGCGCAUUAGCUAGUUGGUGAGAUAAAAGCCCACCAAGGCGAGGAUGCGUAGCCGACCUGAGAGGGUGAUCGGCCACAUUGGAACUGAGACACGGUCCAAACUCCUACGGGAGGCAGCAGUAAGGAGUUUUCGGCAAUGGGGGAAACCCUGACCGAGCAACGCCGCCGUGAGUGAUGACGGCCCUAUGGGUUGUAAAGCUCUGUUGUAAGGGACGAACGAUCGUUUAGGAAAUGAAACGGUUCUGACGGUACCUUACCAGAAAGCCACGGCUAACUACGUGCCAGCCGCCGC
rnacentral:rRNA from 1 species